AUGUUUUUUUUUUUUUUUUUUAACCACGAUUCCUACCGAUGCGCACGUGCGUGCCGGCGACGCUCAAGGGCCCCACCUCGCCACGACCUGCCGCAGACGGCCCCUAGUUCAGUGGACGUCUGGGGCUUCCACGCGCGCCGCCCACGCCGAUCUCACACCUCCGAUUCGCCCAGAACCUCAAGUGGGCUCGCGCCCGGGGGUCCACCCCCCUACGAAGACCCGAGCUGGUGCAAAAUGGAUGCCGUGCCCCGUGCCCCGGCUCUCGCCGUCCAGCAGACAGAGACCACGGCAGAAUCCUCCCGGUGGCGCUUCGCGAAGGCCCGGUCUGCGGCACGCUGGACGACACGCAGGCAGAAAACUGCAAGAGUGGCCCCCGGGGACCCCUGCGUGUCGCUGGGAACCUGCGGCUUGGGGCCUCCGCCUGGCUCUGCGGCGGCCGCCGCGGCCCUGGCUACCGCCGACACAAGGCGCCGCCGCUGGCGAGCCGCGGCCGGACGCAGGCCCCGCGCCGUCCACGCGGCGCGAGCAGGCCACGGGGGCCGGCCGGGUCCCCUACGCCGCCCGGCCUGCCACCCACGCCGCGUUGGUGCCCCGGCCCGCGCCCCCUGCCGCAGGAGAGCCCCUGGCUGCCGCGCCGGGUUCUAUAUGCGUUUCCGUGGCGUUGGUUCCCUGCAGGUUUGUUUGUUUUGGGUUGUUUUUUUCUUCAAAUUACAGAUGCGGGGAAAACCGCCUGACAUCAUGAGAGCCGGACAAACGCUCGCUUUGAAGGAUUCCUGGGCAGGACUUCAAGUGAAAUCAUAUGCCCGAGAAGAACUUGAUACCGGUCUAGAGAAAAUAACCAGCUCCGGCUUUGCCAAACCAUGGAAUGUGCAAAACGCUACUUUUUUUUUUUUUUUUUUGGUGGUUGUUGUUUCAAGAAUCCGAGUGUCCCUUCAAAAGCUCUCCCGUCAUGACCACAGACCGAAGCUUGGGCCUCUGUGCGUAUUGCGGGUUUCUAUUUAG
rnacentral:lncRNA from 1 species